rnacentral:rRNA from 1 species
CCAAUAGCGUAUAUUAAAGUUGUUGUGGUUAAAAAGCUCGUAGUUGAACCUUGGGCCUGGCUGGCCGGUCCGCCUCACCGCGUGUACUGGUCCGGCCGGGCCUUUCCCUCUGUGGAACCUCAUGCCCUUCACUGGGCGUGACGGGGAAACAGGACUUUUACUGUGAAAAAAUUAGAGUGCUCCAGGCAGGCCUAUGCUCGAAUACAUUAGCAUGGAAUAAUGAAAUAGGACGUGCGGUUCUAUUUUGUUGGUUUCUAGGACCGCCGUAAUGAUUAAUAGGGACAGUCGGGGGCAUCAGUAUUCAAUUGUCAGAGGUGAAAUUCUUGGAUUUAUUGAAGACUAACUACUGCGAAAGCAUUUGCCAAGGAUGUUUUCAUUAAUCAGGAACGAAAGUUAGGGGAUCGAAGACGAUCAGAUACCGUCGUAGUCUUAACCAUAAACUAUGCCGACUAGGGAUCGGACGAUGUAAAUAAUUGACUCGUUCGGCACCUUACG